GUAAAUAAUAAUUAUGAAAGCAAAAAAUUAUGGCGGUAUUUUAAGCUUUUCAGAGGAAUUUGCUCUUUAAUGGAUAAAACACCAAAAUCUUACUUAGAUUUGUGAUUUCAAUUUGUAUACCACUAUUAAAACAAUUUAUAACUUUAAUUGUUUAAAUUUACAAAACUAAAAUAUAUUAAGUCAAGGUGCAGUAAAAAUUUAAGGAUGAAGUGAAUUACAUUACUUUUUAGUGAGAUAAGUUUAUAACAAUAUUUAGGAUUUGAAAGUAAAAUUAAAAUAGGAUGUUAAUUUGAAUUAAGCUCUAAAAUAUGUAC
rnacentral:rRNA from 1 species